rnacentral:rRNA from 1 species
AGCGAACGCUGGCGGCAGGCCUAACACAUGCAAGUCGAGCGGAUGAGAGGAGCUUGCUUCUCGAUUCAGCGGCGGACGGGUGAGUAAUGCCUAGGAAUCUGCCUGGUAGUGGGGGACAACGUUUCGAAAGGAACGCUAAUACCGCAUACGUCCUACGGGAGAAAGCAGGGGACCUUCGGGCCUUGCGCUAUCAGAUGAGCCUAGGUCGGAUUGGCUAGUUGGUGAGGUAAUGGAUCACCAAGGCGACGAUCCGUAACUGGUCUGAGAGGAUGAUCAGUCACACUGGAACUGAGACACGGUCCAGACUCCUACGGGAGGCAGCAGUGGGGAAUAUUGGACAAUGGGCGAAAGCCUGAUCCAGCCAUGCCGCGUGUGUGAAGAAGGUCUUCGGAUUGUAAAGCACUUUAAGUUGGGAGGAAGGGUUGUAGAUUAAUACUCUGCAAUUUUGACGUUACUGACAGAAUAAGCACCGGCUAACUCUGUGCCAGCCGCCGCCGUAAGAC